CCUCACUGAUCUCAAGGACAUUGUUAACGAGAAGAACCCUGCACAGAACUACACUGUCCAGCAGCAAAUUGGCCAUGGGCUUUUUGGAGUGGUUUUUCAAGGAGCUGACAUUGCCACAGGAGGACAGGUAAGGCCCAGCACCCACAGCAGAUUCU